rnacentral:other from 1 species
GUUCCUCUACAAAAUUCGUGAUUGGCUUUUAGAACCUCUGCGCCAACACUUUUGCGAAGGGUGACGACCUCCAAUGGGGUAGCGCUCAACCUCCUGCGGCGAGGAAGGGCAACGCUCCGGGUAGUUACCCACCUGUUCAACAGGAUCGCACGAGUUUCUGAAGCACACGGUUUUGCGGAGGAAUC